UUUUGCUUACGGGGGGCAGCAGUAGGGAAUCUUUCACAAUGGGCGAAAGCCUGAUGGAGCAACGUCGCGUGGGUGAAGAAGGUCUUCGGAUCGUAAAACCCUGUUGUUAGAGAAGAAAGUGCGUGAGAGUAACUGUUCACGUUUCGACGGUAUCUAACCAGAAAGCCACGGCUAACUACGUGCCAGCGGCCGCGGUAAUACGUAGGUGGCAAGCGUUAUCCGGAUUUAUUGGGCGUAAAGGGAACGCAGGCGGCCUUUUAAGUCUGAUGUGAAAGCCUUCGGCUUAACCGGAGUAGUGCAUUGGA
rnacentral:rRNA from 1 species